UAUGUUUAGACAUACUUAUUUAUAUUUGAAAGGGAGAGAAGGAAAGACAGAUCUUCCAGCUACUGGUACACUCCCCAAAUGGCUGCAAUGACUGGCUAUUCUGAAGCCAGGACCUGGGAAACUUCUUCAGGGUCUCCCCCAUGGAUGCAGCGGCCCCGUCACCUUAGGUUAUCUCCGGCUGCUUUCCCAGGCACAUGAACAGGAAGCUGGAUCAGAAAUGGAGCAAUGGGGGCUUGAACUGGGUGCCCCUCUUGGAUGCUGGCGCUACAGGUGGAGGCUUAACAUGCUUUACCACAAUGCUUGCCCUGUCAUUUCAUUUCUUAUAAAAAUGAUUGUUUCAUAUCUUUUAUGUAAACCUGUGCAAAAUAUAUAUAUGUGGGAGGAACUAGCCUAAAGUGCCUAGGUUUGUUCCUAAUUGUGGGAGAGUGGAGCAGUUUGAUCUUGUUACAAAUGUGUUCCUAACUGAGUGCCUUUGAUGCCGACUGUUUAUGAAAUGCACGCAUCUGGGUCUCCUUUGGUCAUCGUAAAGAGUGUGUGAUAGGGGUACAGGACCCUUCCCACUUCACAGAUAACAGCAUUGGGAAGCUAAUAGGAAAAGUACCUGACCUGUGGUUCUCCACUUAGCAACUCAGGCAGACACUGGAAUGUGAACCGUCGCAGAACAAAUCACGCACAAGCCGUCACACAGCAGAGAUGACCACAGUCCCCAAAGACCCAGCCCUAACUCCCCAAGGCAUCAUACCCCAUGAGGUCUCAGCUCUCCCCUCUUCUCCCACCUCCAUGAGGCCCAGGACCGGUCUGCUACAUGCUUGGUUGACUCCCAGCACCCUAUGCAACACUUGGCACCCACAGUGGCUUGUGGAACCCAAGUGAAUGAGUAGAUGUGAGCAAAGGUGGAGCCGAGAAGACCAGAAACCUAAGGCCGAGAACCUGCAGGCCUGGGAGUGACUGCAUGAGGAUUGUCGCCCAGGGCACUCGUGUGCCCUUGUGUCUCUACCCAGUGGACUUCGUGCCCAAGUACCCUCUAGUGACUUCAUGCUGUGUCAGCAAGAGGCCACGCGGACUGAGACACAACCGUGAGACGUCCAACAUGGGGUCAGCCUUGGGACUGCUUGCAUGGAAAUGAGGGCCUGAGAACUUCAUUUAUUGAGAGACAAUACGGAGAAGGUCUGCCAUCACCAAGACAUUGAUUCAGACAGCCCCACGCAUGAGGCUGGGCGGUCACUGGGGCCAGAAGGGAUGCUGACACCACCGUAACACAGGAACUCAGCAGUGAAGAAAUCUACUCUGAAUCUGACUGUGGUACCUCAGGGAGCUUACAGCCCAGGAGGAAGAAGACCAAGGGUCACCAGAUUGGUGCUACCAGGUGGAGGAGGGGAAGCAGGCUGCAGCCGGGAUGGUCAGCUGGCCAGGCCACAGGGGAGCUACGGGACCCCGGGAGCUGUCACCGCUGACUGAUGGAUGGGGACAGCUUCCAGUCACUGGCCAGCCCUGCCACGAGCCCUGUGGCCAUCUCUGCGGCCAGCCGCCCACACUGGCCUCCCGGGGCCCCAGUGCCUCGCUUUGAACAUCCAUAAGGCCUUUUGUUCCCGCAGCAGGAGCCAGGCAGGCUGUGGUGGAGGGACCUCUUUUAGAGGAAGGAGUUUCCUGCUGAGGCCUCCCCCUGUCCCUGACCCCUGCUGUGUCCUUCUAAUUACCUGUGGGCGGGAGGAGUGGACUGAGGGGUCCAGCUGGGCCCCUAGGAAUC